GCAAGUCGAGCGGAAACGACACUAACAAUCCUUCGGGUGCGUUAAUGGGCGUCGAGCGGCGGACGGGUGAGUAAUGCCUAGGAAAUUGCCUUGAUGUGGGGGAUAACCAUUGGAAACGAUGGCUAAUACCGCAUAAUGCCUACGGGCCAAAGAGGGGGAUCUUCGGACCUCUCGCGUCAAGAUAUGCCUAGGUGGGAUUAGCUAGUUGGUGAGGUAAUGGCUCACCAAGGCGACGAUCCCUAGCUGGUCUGAGAGGAUGAUCAGCCACACUGGAACUGAGACACGGUCCAGACUCCUACGGGAGGCAGCAGUGGGGAAUAUUGCACAAUGGGCGAAAGCCUGAUGCAGCCAUGCCGCGUGUAUGAAGAAGGCCUUCGGGUUGUAAAGUACUUUCAGUUGUGAGG
rnacentral:rRNA from 1 species